rnacentral:misc_RNA from 1 species
CCUUCUCAAACCUUAGGGUUUGGUAGUGAGUGAUACUCUUUCUAGGGUUAACUUGAAAAUGCUGGCCAUCUGGCUGUUGCUGGCUGAGGCUUUAGUCCAGUCUGCUGAUACUCUGCGUAUUAGGUUUUACCAACUCGUGGGGGCUUGAGCGGACGCUACAAAGACUUUUGCUAAAAGUACAGACAACCUGGCGAACAGUAUUCACUAA